GACGUAGGGCGCGAGCGUUGUCCGGAUUUAUUGGGCGUAAAGAGCUCGUAGGCGGCUCGUCGCGUCGGUGGUGAAAUUCCGCAGCUUAACUGUGGGCUUGCCGCCGAUACGGGCGGGCUGGAGUUCGGUAGGGGAGACUGGAAUUCCUGGUGUAGCGGUGAAAUGCGCAGAUAUCAGGAGGAACACCGGUGGCGAAGGCGGGUCUCUGGGCCGAUACUGACGCUGAGGAGCGAAAGCGUGGGGAGCGAACAGG
rnacentral:rRNA from 1 species